rnacentral:rRNA from 1 species
UACGAAGGGGGCUAGCGUUGCUCGGAAUCACUGGGCGUAAAGCGCACGUAGGCGGCUUCUUAAGUCAGGGGUGAAAUCCUGGAGCUCAACUCCAGAACUGCCUUUGAUACUGAGAGCUUGAGUCCGGGAGAGGUGAGUGGAACUGCGAGUGUAGAGGUGAAAUUCGUAGAUAUUCGCAAGAACACCAGUGGCGAAGGCGGCUCACUGGCCCGGUACUGACGCUGAGGUGCGAAAGCGUGGGGAGCAAACAGG